GAUGAACGCUGGCGGCGUGCCUAAUACAUGCAAGUCGAGCGAACAGACGAGGAGCUUGCUCCUCUGACGUUAGCGGCGGACGGGUGAGUAACACGUGGAUAACCUACCUAUAAGACUGGGAUAACUUCGGGAAACCGGAGCUAAUACCGGAUAACAUGUUGAACCGCAUGGUUCAACAGUGAAAGACGGUCUUGCUGUCACUUAUAGAUGGAUCCGCGCCGCAUUAGCUAGUUGGUAAGGUAACGGCUUACCAAGGCAACGAUGCGUAGCCGACCUGAGAGGGGGAUCGGCCACACUGGAACUGAGACACGGUCCAGACUCCUACGGGAGGCAGCAGUAGGGAAUCUUCCGCAAUGGGCGAAAGCCUGACGGAGCAACGCCGCGUGAGUGAAGAAGGUCUUCGGAUCGUAAAACUCUGUUAUUAGGGAAGAACAAAUGUGUAAGUAACUAUGCACGUCUGGAUGGUACCUAAUCAGAAAGCCACGGCUAACUACGU
rnacentral:rRNA from 1 species